rnacentral:rRNA from 1 species
AGUGAACGCUGGCGGUAGGCCUAACACAUGCAAGUCGAACGGCAGCACAGGAGAGCUUGCUCUCUGGGUGGCGAGUGGCGGACGGGUGAGGAAUGCAUCGGAAUCUGCCCAGUCGUGGGGGAUAACGUAGGGAAACUUACGCUAAUACCGCAUACGACCUUCGGGUGAAAGAGGGGGAUCGCAAGACCUCUCGCGCGUUGAUGAGCCGAUGUCGGAUUAGCUAGUUGGCGGGGUAAUGGCCCACCAAGGCGACGAUCCGUAGCUGGUCUGAGAGGAUGAUCAGCCACACUGGAACUGAGACACGGUCCAGACUCCUACGGGAGGCAGCAGUGGGGAAUAUUGGACAAUGGGCGCAAGCCUGAUCCAGCCAUACCGCGUGGGUGAAGAAGGCCUUCGGGUUGUAAAGCCCUUUUGUUGGGAAAGAAAUCUUUCAGGCUAAUACCCUGGGAGGAUGACGGUACCCAAAGAAUAAGCACCGGCUAACUUCGUG